GUAGGUGAACCUGCGGAAGGAUCAUUAUCGAAUUUUAAAGGAUGUGCUGGCUGCCCUCACAGGUUUGCAUGUGCACUCCACAAAAUCUCCAUCCUCUACCCCAUUGUGCACAACCAGUAGCAAAACAGGUUCACAGAGCAAUCUGUGCACAUUGUCUGCCUACGCUUUUUUAUACCAAACCCCAAUAAUAUGUCAGAAUGAUGUAUUGCAGUAAGCUUUCACAAGCUGAAAUCUAAUACAACUUUCAACA
rnacentral:misc_RNA from 1 species